GGCUUGAUAGCUCAGUUCAGUGGUAGAGCACUGCACCGGUAUCGCAGAGGUCAUGGGUUCGAAUCCCGUUCAAGCCU